rnacentral:rRNA from 1 species
UACGUAGGGUGCGAGCGUUAAUCGGAAUUACUGGGCGUAAAGCGUGCGUAGGCGGUUCGUUAAGUUCGUUGUGAAAGCCCCGGGCUCAACCUGGGAAUGGCAAUGGAAACUGGCGGGCUGGAGUAUGGCAGAGGGGGGUGGAAUUCCGCGUGUAGCAGUGAAAUGCGUAGAGAUCAGGAAGAACACCGGUGGCGAAAGCGCUCUGCUGGACCUUAACUGACACUGAGGGACGAAAGCUAGGGGAGCGAAUGGG